AGAAACUCUCAAAAAAAAAGAUGGUAUUUUUGCACUUUUGUUUUAUUUUCCUUUGGUUAAAGUUCUUACUUCUAUGUACUAAAGACGGCGACGUUUUGAACUUUGGUCUGACUUGGCUGGCAGCUAAUGGAGGCAGGAAGGACCUUCUGCAAUAUAAUUCUGGAAAUUGAUAAAACGAUGACUAGAUAAUUUUUAAUUUGAACCCAGUUCAUUCAAACUAUUUUCCUUAAUUUCCAAUAUAUCUUUUUCACUGUCUAUGGCAUUUUUUCAGCCAUUCAUUUUAUAAAGGUGAUCUAAGGUGGCAUAUUUCAAAAUUAAAGCUUUGUUGGAAAAGUUUAUUUGAAGAGUUUGCACGAAAAUUUAACUUGGGAGCCAGAGCAUCAGCAGCAGAGGCUGGGCAGAAAUAAAGGUAAUUUUUUGGACUCGACGCACACACCGAUUUCUCUGCCCAGCCUCUGCCGGUAAAUAGCCACGAGAGCGAAAAAAACCAUCCUUGCCCAUCCUUGGCUUAUAUUAUGGGACGUCCAAUUAUACUAAGACCGGGCAUUUUUGAUCGGCGAUUUUUGGUCUUGUCUUGUACACACUUGUAGUGGCCAAUCUAGGAGCCAAUAUCUGUCUCUGAAUCCAUUCAACUUUGGAGGUCAUCAAAGGCACUUAUGACUAAUUGUUAUUUUUUUUUAAAAUCCAAAUAAAUAAUUUAUGUAAA